CUCUUUAACUCUUCGAAGCUCCGAUCGCAAUCGUCGCUCCAAACAUACUUUACCCCCUUAUGCGUGAGGUGUUAAGGAUUUUAUAGGUUGGCGAAUUUCGUAAAGUUGUUUGGAGUCUUGAAGAGUUGAUUGCAGAAGAUUUUGAGAAAAGAUUCAAAUUGGAGGACAAAGACUCAUUCGGAAAGAUCGACACCUAAGGUAUGUAGAAAAGAUCAUUUGUGGUGAAGAUACAUGUUUAAAAUAAGUUCAGAAGACUUAGAUUGCUUUAAAAACAAUUUCCUGAACAUUCAUGUGUUCUGGGACCGGUCUCUGAGAUGGAGAGACCGGUUCCCCCAAGGUCCUCACUGCGUAAUCCUUGAUGCAACCGGUCCCCUGUGGUGAGAGACCGGUUCCCGAACCUUGGUGGUUCUGUCACGCAGCGAGGGACCGGUCUCAAGUUUGAGAGACCGGUUCCCGAACGUGGGGUUUUUGGUUACGCAGAGAGGGACCGGUUCCUCACUUGAGAGACCGGUCUCUCACAGACCGGUCUCCUCGACAGGACCGGUCUCUGAGGACGACACGAGUUUUUGAAAUCGACUUUUUGCAAUCCUAGUCUACUUCUAAGUCUUCUAAACAUAUAAAUAAGCUAUGUGGGCCGUCUAAAAAAAAGGCUUCUGAAUAUUUUACCAAUUCCAAACCCUAGAAACUCGUUUUCUUCGCUUCGAUUUACAUGAUGAGUUUCUAGCAAUCAACAUCGGCUUGAUUCUUCGUUUUUACUUAAUAUUUCUUACGAGAAUCAAGUAGAUGAUUGAUUAAAGGUGAACCCUCAUAGCUUAUGGUUUUCAAAAGUUGAAUCACCGCAAAUCUUCGAUUCUACAAGCUCCGGAAGGAGGUUUGGCGCGUGGAUCUCGCGCGAAGCUGAGGAUUCGGUGGACGCUUCGAGGAGUUGAGGCGUUGACGCUGCGAGGAGUUGCAGCAAGGUCGAUUGGUGGAUUCCUAUCGAUCGAGGACCGGCAAAGAUCUCUGUCAAUAAGAAAUCGGUAAAUUGAGUCGCGUGUUUUUGGUCGAAAUCACUUGUACUCAAGUUUUCUUAGUGGAUUUUCUUUGCGUGAUCGGUCC
rnacentral:lncRNA from 1 species